rnacentral:rRNA from 1 species
AGUGAACGCUGGCGGUAGGCCUAACACAUGCAAGUCGAGCGGCAGCACAGUAAGGGCUUGCUCUUACGGGUGGCGAGUGGCGGACGGGUGAGGAAUACAUCGGAAUCUACUUUUUCGUGGGGGAUAACGUAGGGAAACUUACGCUAAUACCGCAUACGACCUACGGGUGAAAGCAGGGGAUCUUCGGACCUUGCGCGAUUGAAUGAGCCGAUGUCGGAUUAGCUAGUUGGCGGGGUAGAGGCCCACCAAGGCGACGAUCCGUAGCUGGUCUGAGAGGAUGAUCAGCCACACUGGAACUGAGACACGGUCCAGACUCCUACGGGAGGCAGCAGUGGGGAAUAUUGGACAAUGGGCGCAAGCCUGAUCCAGCCAUACCGCGUGGGUGAAGAAGGCCUUCGGGUUGUAAAGCCCUUUUGUUGGGAAAGAAAAGCAGCAGGUUAAUACCCCGCUGUUCUGACGGUACCCAAAGAAUAAGCACCGGCUAACUUCGUG